ACGUGUAAAUUGGAAGCGGGUCGAAGAUCCGAGGGAGAAUCGGGUUCAAGUCGGUUGUGGGCUAAACCCGAAAAGCCCAAAACUUCUCUCGCCCACCCGUAUAUGACGCCCAGUUUUAUAACGGUUCAUCACAAAAUUCAAAUCUCUCUGGAGUGACCUCUCUCUACCGGAUCAGGAACUCGCCGGAUGUCGGAAGGUCAUGACGGCGGAGGAUUGGUGGUAGGAGAUCGAAGAAAAAGCCGAUAUCGGUUGUUAGUUUCGUCUUCAGACAGGGAAAAGUUUGACGUUAAACAUGACCAUAAGUGCCCAAGAUUCAAAGCUUCUGUCAAUCUGGUAUCGAUGGAAUUUGCUCUUCUGUUUAUUCUUUUUCUGUACCAGAUGAAGAAAUCAUACAUGGCAAGCGUACGUAUUUCAUACCCGUUCCUUAUAAUGAAUGUGUGUCGUAUAUUAUCAGGUUUAUUGCAUGCUGCUCAUCUUUCAAGGUUAUGACGGAAAUAACAUCAUCUGUACCCCAGAAUGGUAACUUGCUUAUUAUUUUGAUAGGCUGAGUUAGGUCACCGUAUUAAUUGGUCAGCACCACAUGCAUCACAGCAAGUUUUGACAAUGACGUCGACUUGGUGUCAUGCUAAGUCUUUUGGAAUUUAUCGAGACUCUACUUGCCUUUGUUAACUCCAAACUUUAUAAUUCUGUAGAGGCGAAGUAACAGUAUUAUCAGCUCGUUGAUUCUUGAUUGGCGGCUUUAGCAGCGGUGGUGUGCUGCUGUCUUGGGAAGGAGAAGGCGUGCCUUUUAAGGAAGAUGAUGAAACUUUUACACAUAAGUUUUUCCUUAAGCCUACCCUGAGUCGUAUUUGUAUCUAUCAGUGUUGUAUGUCCAAUCACAGUGGACGUGCAUGAACUUAUAAUCUUCCUAACUGUGGGAACGUGUUAUGGUUUGCAAGGGGAAGAGGAGGAGGUAGCUUCAAAUAUAGGAAGAGAACUAUACCGUUCUUUUUUAUAAAACCCAUGAAGGGAAGGCAACAACAAUACGAUUGUGUUUCUUUUGAUGCAUUUGUUUGUUAAACUUGGGUUUUUAUGUGGAUUGCAGAUGAUAAAGCCAUAUCACAAGCGGAGUGUUGAAGGAGAAGUGGAUGUUGCGAUUCCCAUUCAAGGGUGAGAGUCCGACUGAGUCGAGUUUUGACGUCCACACCCAGACAUUACCGGACGACGAAUUAGCCAUCGAGACCCUACCCUAGUACAACC